CACGUAGGCACCAAGCGUUGUCCGGAUUUAUUGGGCGUAAAGAGCUCGUAGGCGGUUCGGUAAGUCGGAUGUGAAAACUUUGGGCUCAACCCAAAGCGUGCAUUCGAUACUGCCGUGACUUGAGUUCGGUAGGGGAGUGGGGAAUUCCUAGUGUAGCGGUGAAAUGCGCAGAUAUUAGGAGGAACACCGGUGGCGAAGGCGCCACUCUGGGCCGAAACUGACGCUGAGGAGCGAAAGCGUGGGUAGCAAACAGG
rnacentral:rRNA from 1 species